UGAAGACUUUGUCAAGGAAGACUUUCUGCCAGAGAUAAUUGUGGACACUCUUCUGUGAUACUUCUCCAAAACUCGACAAUUGGGAGUUUCUUAAAGUGGCUUGGACCAGCGACUUCCUGGCAGGACGAUGGAAGGGC